rnacentral:other from 1 species
CUCCCUCUGCGGGGUGCGCGAGUCCGUAGUAACGAAUCCCUGAUAGUAAUCGAACCGGGAGAUGAGUCCCUGGUGGAGAGCAGGCCCGGAUUUUCUCACCGGGAAGCCAGAAGCCGGGGAAUGAAGAGUCUCCCACCUAGCUACGCUAGGGGUUCGCACUACAACCAUGACUUCGCGGCCCAAGCGGUAAGUUG